rnacentral:rRNA from 2 species
AACGGGGAGGGCAAGCGUUAUUCGCCUUGACUGGGCGUAAAGGGUUUGUAGGUAGUUUGUUUCUCUUGGCGGGACAUUUCGCAAUUUAUUUGCAUUUUUCGCCUUACUUUGAACAUCCUAGAGUUUAGUCGAAGGCGCCGGUACUUUUGAUGGAGGGGUGAAAUCCGUUGAGAUCAACAAGGACUACCAUUCGCGAAGGCGGGUUCCUAGAUUUUAUAAACUGACACUGAGGUACGAAAGCGUGGGGAGCGAACGGG